rnacentral:lncRNA from 1 species
UAUUUUUCUUAUUAUUCUAGUUAAGAUUAAUAUUAUUUAUUUUUUUUUUCUAACAAACUAAUUAUAUUUUCUAGAGACUUUGUACACUUUCUUAGUUAACCAUACUCUAUAUCUCACACUAUUUUAAUUCUCUCAAUUUGUCUUUUUUUCAUCCUUAUAGAACUCACUAACUCCCUUUAAUCAUACACUUUUCUGUUUAUUGUAAUUUAUUUAGUUAUCAUUUUGUUUAUAAUUCAUGUUUUAAUGUUUUAAUUAUUUUUAGUUUUUAGUUUUAUUAGUUUUAUUUAGAAUCCCUAAUUUGAUAUAAGAAUAUGUAUUUUUUUUGUUAAUCUUAUUUUAUUUGUUAGAGUCAUUUUAUAUGUUCAUGAUCUUAUUGGUGAAUUUGCACUAUUAUUAAUUUUUUACUCAGACUAUUCAUCAUACCAUCAACCAUCAACCAUCAACCAUAUAGUAUUUAAAACAUGCAAUAUUCAUUCAACAAUCAAGCAACAAGCAAAAUAUUCAGUAUCACCAUUUUUCAAUUUCUUUCACUUACUUGAUUAUCAAUCCUGAUUCCUCAAUUUUAUAAACCUUACUUAAAACUUAGUUAGGUUUUUGCUCGAAAACAUUUUUGAAAACAUGCAAAUGUGGCUUCGGGAUAGCUACUAGAUAUACUUACCUUCUCGGAUGACUAAGGCAUCGAUUUACGCUCCUUUACGCUCUCCCCAAUUCCAUGGCCUACGUGAAGCUAUAUAUCGAUUAUUAGAUACCUUUCUUUUUAUUGAAAUAAUUUUAUAAUUACUAAUAACUCACAUAGAUUUCUAAGUCUAAUUACUCAACUUACCUAAAAUCAAUUCUAAAUCUAACUUAAUGAAUUAACACAAAUAUAUGGGUUUUUCAGAAUUUACCUUCAACGAGUUUGGGAUUCCAAAAAGAGAUACAUCCCGCUUCGUUGUAGGAAGCGGUUGGCUUAGCAUGAACCCCAUGGUCAUCAACACGGUAACCCAAAAUGGUAUCAGGUUGCAAUUCUCUCCACCUCUCGUCUACCGCUCCAAUGUUUUCCUCGUUCACAAUCGAAAUGCUACGAAAUAAAAGGCAAAUGAUUUUACCUUCAAAUUUGGGGUCCCCGAAUACUGGAGCCACCACACACCACCAUGUGCGUCACCGGAAUAGUCACGCACUACCGUACGUGCCACCGUGAUUAGUACGCACCUCCGCUCGAUCCAACAGUAGAUCAAGCCAUGCCCUGCCUUUUUCUUCUCUUUUUUUUUCCUUCUCUCUUUUUUUUUUGUUUCUUUUCCUUUUUUUCUUUUUCAUCUCUUUUUUUUUCCCUUUUUUUCCAUCUUUUAUUUUCUUUUUUUUCUUUCAUUUUCUUUUAUUUUCUUUUCUUUUAUUCUUUUUUUCUUUUUUUUUUCUUUUUUUCUCUUUUCUUUGUUUUUCUUUGUUUCUCUUUUUUCUACUUCUUUUUUUUUUCCCUCUUCUUCCCUUUGGUUGUUUCCUCUUUCCCCUGCCAUGUCCACCAUUGCCACCGCAUUGGAUUCCUCUGUUCUGCGAAACUGCCACACCCGAAGUCCCUUCUUUCCGACUGCACACAUCGCACACUUCUCUCCUCUGCAGGAUCGUUGCACAUCGUGCCAAUUGUUCAAAUCUGCUUCCUCUCUUGGCUUCAUCCGCCAAGGUAGAGGAAUGUGUAUUUUUUUGUUGAUUUUAUUUUAUUUGUGAGAGUUAUUUUAUGUGUUCAUAAUUUUAUUGGUGAAUAUGCAUUAUUAUUAAUAUUCUACUCAAACUAUUUAACUCAUCAUAUCAUUAACUAUUAUACAGUAUUUAAAACAUGCAAUCUUCAUUCAACAAUCAAGCCACAAGCAAAUGACAAAUUAAAACAUUGAGUAUCACCAUUUUCCUAUUUCUUCCAACUACUUGAUUAUCAAUGUUGAUUCCUUAAUUUUAUAAACCUUACUCCAAACUUAAUUAGGUUUUCAUUUGAAAACAUUUUUAAAAACAUGCGAAUGUGGCUUUGGGAUAGCUACUAAAUAUAUUUACAAACUUUGGAGUUAAAGGAUUCUGAUUUGAGUUCCAAACACUAUCCAAAUAUUAGCAAAAACAUGCAUAGCAACUAAACCCUCUCGGGUUAGCGGUGAACCCAAGAGUUUCAUGCAAUCAUAUUACAUGCUCAUCUCAUUUCUACAACUAUUCAAGUUACUAAGGCAAUUAUUCAAUUUAACUUUUCUUUGUUUUGUCUAUUUGAUUAAUUACAUAAUUUCGUAAAUAAUACUUUCUUAUCAUUUUAUAUUAAUCUAGCUUUAAUUAAUUAAUAAUUUCUUUAAUUUAUUUUAUCUAUUAUUUAUUCAAUUCUAAAAGAAAUCAUUACAAAUAUUCUUUUCCUAUUUUCUUAAAUUAUUUUCUUAUAUCAUCUAUUUUAUUCAUAACAAAAUUUAUUAAUUUAUUUACAUAUUUAUUAAAUCAAAAUGAUUUCCAAAAUUUAUUCCUUUUAGUAUUUUAAAUUACCUUUACCUAUGUACUAUAGAUUAUGGCUAAUUAGUCUAGUUAUCAAUUACUUAUCAAAUCAAAUUUAAUUCUUAUUAAUUAUUUAUUCAAUCAAUUUGAAUUCUCUGUAAUUUUAUAUUCAAUUAAAUUCAACUCUACUAACUAUCAUAAUUUACCUAAUUCUUAAAUUUUAAUUUUUUUAUUCUUCUCGUCCAUAUAUAUAUAUACACGUACACAUACAUAUGCUUAUAUAUUUAUAUACACAUAACACAUUCAUUUAUUAUGACAUAUUUAUAUAUGUAUCAUAUUAUUUUUUAAAAAUUUAUAUCAUAACAUACAAUUAUAUAAUUAUAAUUAUAAAACUUAUAACAUUACUUAUAUAUAUAUAUAAAUAUAUAAAUCUCCCUUCAUUAUCAUUUAUUUUUAUGACAUAUAUUUAUAUAUUGUGUUAAUCAUACUUAUCAUCAUUUAAACUCAUUUAUAUAUAUAUAAACUAUACAUACAUAUAUUA